GUGGGGAAUAUUGGACAAUGGGCGCAAGCCUGAUCCAGCCAUGCCGCGUGAGUGAUGAAGGCCUUAGGGUUGUAAAGCUCUUUUGUCCGGGAAGAUAAUGACUGUACCGGAAGAAUAAGCCCCGGCUAACUUCGUGCCAGCAGCCGCGGUAAUACGAAGGGGGCUAGCGUUGCUCGGAAUCACUGGGCGUAAAGGGCGCGUAGGCGGACUCUUAAGUCGGGGGUGAAAGCCCAGGGCUCAACCCUGGAAUAGCCUUCGAUACUGAGAGUCUUGAGUUCGGAAGAGGUUGGUGGAAUUGCGAGUGUAGAGGUGAAAUUCGUAGAUAUUCGCAAGAACACCAGUGGCGAAGGCGGCCAACUGGUCCGAUACUGACGCUGAGGCGCGAAAGCGUGGGGAGCAAACAGGAUUAGAAACCCCUGUAGUCC
rnacentral:rRNA from 1 species